rnacentral:hammerhead_ribozyme from 1 species
AUCCAACUGACGAGUCCUGGAUAGGACGAAACGCGCAUCAAACUAGAU